CUGAAGAUCACCCUGGACAACGCC
rnacentral:piRNA from 1 species